CAGCCGCCACGGGAAUACGGAGGGAGCUAGCGUUGUUCGGAAUCACUGGGCGUAAAGCGCACGUAGGCGGCUAUUCAAGUCAGGGGUGAAAGCCCGGGGCUCAACCCCGGAACUGCCUUUGAAACUAGAUAGCUUGAAUCUUGGAGAGGCGAGUGGAAUUCCGAGUGUAGAGGUGAAAUUCGUAGAUAUUCGGGAGAACACCAGUGGCGAAGGCGACUCGCUGGACAAGUAUUGACGCUGAGGUGCGAAAGCGUGGGGAGCGAACAGGAUUAGAUACCCCAGUAGUCCCUGUCUCUUAUCC
rnacentral:rRNA from 1 species